AGUAGAAGUCAAAGUAUCUCACUAGGAAAAUGUAACCCAAUCUACGAACUACAUUUCCUGAGAGUAAAACCAGAGCCCACUUUCUGUUCCCAGCUUCCAUAAUUUCUUUCUAAUCAUUGAUCAAAGGGGAAUUGUCUCUUUCAUCUAAGAAGGGCUCCAGCAAUCAUAUUUCUUUCUGUUGAUUUGAGGGCAGGUUCUCUUAAUUGUGAACACUGGAAACUCUACAAGAAUACAUACAAAUAAAUAUAUGCAGCAUCA